CAGCCGCCACGGGAAUACGGAGGGAGCUAGCGUUGUUCGGAAUUACUGGGCGUAAAGCGCGCGUAGGCGGUUACUCAAGUCAGAGGUGAAAGCCCGGGGCUCAACCCCGGAACUGCCUUUGAAACUAGGUGACUAGAAUCUUGGAGAGGUCAGUGGAAUUCCGAGUGUAGAGGUGAAAUUCGUAGAUAUUCGGAAGAACACCAGUGGCGAAGGCGGCUCACUGGACCGGCAUUGACGCUGAGGUGCGAAAGCGUGGGGAGCAAACAGGAUUAGAGACCCGCGUAGUCCCUGUCUCUUAUAC
rnacentral:rRNA from 1 species